CUUAAGCUGAUGAGUCCCAAAUAGGACGAAAUGCGUGUCAAACUGGAU
rfam:Schistosoma rodhaini strain Burundi genome assembly, scaffold: SROB_scaffold0010595